rnacentral:rRNA from 1 species
UACCUACGGGGGGCAGCAGUGAGGAAUAUUGGUCAAUGGACGCAAGUCUGAACCAGCCAUGCCGCGUGCAGGAUGACGGCUCUAUGAGUUGUAAACUGCUUUUGUACGAGGGUAAACCCCGAUACGUGUAUCGGGUUGAAAGUAUCGUACGAAUAAGCAUCGGCUAACUCCGUGCCAGCAGCCGCGGUAAUACGGAGGAUGCGAGCGUUAUCCGGAUUUAUUGGGUUUAAAGGGUGCGCAGGCGGCGUGUCAAGUCAGCGGUAAAAUGUCGGGGCUCAACCCCGGCCGGCCGUUGAAACUGGCGG